AUUCCAAGCCUCUCUCAUCACAGAUGCAGGUUCAUCCCUCCUUCCUUUUGAGGAUUGGACUCCAGCUCCCUUCUCCUCUUCCGCUGCCCUGUGAGCAAUCUUUUAAGAUCUCACUCAAUUCAUGUCUUCUGUCACAAGUGCUUCUCACUCACAUCUUCAGAACAGAACAGAACAGAACAGCAUCUUGUUCCAGUUUGUUUUACAUGGUUUGACAAAGGAAGAAGGACAAGCAUUUCCUCUUUCCAUCUGUAAUUUCUCCGUAGCUCGCCUAAGCUGCCACUGACAGCCCAGGUCAAUGCCUUGGUUUCCUGGGGCUGCAAACUUCUCUUCCAGGAAUCCUAGCUUGGAUGCUGCUGCCAGGCAAGGAGAACUGGAAUGGCUUGCUGGCAUGAAUCUUAACCCAUCCCUCUUUUCUGGAGGGUACAAGAAUCCAGGAGAUUUCAUCUGCAGCUAAAUGAGAGGAGAAUCAAUACUUGAUUUUCACUUUCCUGCAUACAAAUCUCACUUAAAACAUUCUGUUUUGUCUCUGGUCCUAUUUUUCAUGGAGUCUUUUUUUUUUUCACUUUUAAUUUUGAAAAGCUACUUCAUAUCCCCCUCAGAAUUCAUACAAAUUCCUCCUGUUCAAUUUAAAAGCAAAAUCAAAUUGCUGGAAGUCACUCACAUAGGUAGAAAGGAAGAGAUAACGCUUUUGAGAAUGACUUGUAAAGGUAUUUAAAAAUAUAACACUUGUCCUCAUUUCUUUAAAAAUGUGAAACUUGAGGAUUUCUUCUGAGAAUGUUGAGGCUGUGAAUGGAUGGGUGGAUAGAUGUGUUUCCAUUAAGGGACUGGGAAACCAUCUGCAAUACCUGGCUUAGUCCUCCUAGGGGACAAAUAACAUUCUAGUAAUAACUCAGGUGAUUAGGGAAGCACAUACAUUCUUUCAAGAUGAAAAGUCACUCUUUACAGCACUAUUUGCUAACAGAUAUAAUUACUAUCUGCAAUUAACUGAUGAAAAACUAUGGGGAAGAAAGAGAAUGGAUGUGCAAGUGCCUAGCCCCACCCCAAGACAUAACUCUCAAUACAUGUUUACAUUAUGCAAAUCUUAAUUGGUAUUGAAAAGUCAAAGACAAAGGCGGAAACAAAACGCCUACUUGCUAAGCCAGUGAAAUUCAUUUCAUUAAGCAGCCUGGUUUUCCACAUCAAAAUAUAAAUGUGUCUUGCUCCAAUUAGUAGAUAUCAUGCAAAAACAAAAGAGUUCAAAAUAUUUGGAUAUAUACUUUUGUAAUUCCUUCAUGCAAUAAAUAUUUACUGAGCAGUUGUUAUGUGCAGGCAACGGAAGUAAAAAGAUGAAUGAGCUCAGGAUGCUAAGAAACUUGGAGUCUGAUAAGAGAUAAGGAAAAAUUUUUAAAGGCAGUUAUGGUAUAGGAGCAUGCAGGCAAGUCACCUAACCCAGUCUUGGAGGGUAGAAAAGGUUUGAAAGGAAGUGCUAUUGAAGCUGAAGCCUGAAGCUAGUCAGACAGGUUGCAAUAAUCUAGAAGAGGAAAGAAAACAGCGAGAGCAUAGGCAGGAGAAAUAGAGGAAAGUCAUCAAAUUAGAGAUUUAGGAGAGAAAAUCGACAGAAUUUUCUAAUGGCUAUUCCCUUGUGUGUUACAGAUUAUGAUACAGAAUAGAGAAGAGGAGCAAAUGCAAAGAUGAUUCCUUUGACAAGAUGAAAAACGGUACUCUAAUACACCUGCUUUGUAAGUCUCUAUUUUCAC
rnacentral:lncRNA from 10 species